GUGUAAGAUUAGCGUUAUGAUAUAUAUUUUUUUAUGUUAGACCGCGGACGCGCCGGCGCCGUCGCUUUUAACUUAUACAAGAUAGUGUGUUGUGUUCAUGAAUAUAGUGCGUCGGUAAUAAUUGAAGGAAAAAAUACCUCAUACAUUCAUAUCUAUAUGCAUAUAUGUACACACUUAUAUUGAGCAAAAUGCGGUGCACGAGUCUAUUACAGGAUUGGCGGAAAGAUAAUUAACGAGUCUGAGUACUCGGGCUCUGAAAUUUGCGUGGUCUUAAAUUUUGGUCAUUUUCUGACGAUGGUUUUCGUAAAACCUGCUUUUGUUCUUGGAACGAGCGAGAUUCGCUUGGGUCGGUAACCACAAGACUACUCGAGAAGACUCUCAUGGUGGUCCUCUUCGCAGGUGGUCCAUCCUCAUCCUCAUCCUCAUUCUACAAUAUAUAUAUAUAUAUAUACUAUUAUGGUGUAUAGCCGAAUGAUGAUGGUUAAGUUAAACUAUAUAUGAGAGUAAAACUCAAAGUAAAAGAAAAAUGAUAAAAAAAUGAUGUUGGUUAUUCAGCCGACCUCAACAAGACGAUGAUUGAGUAUAAUAAUAAUAAUUCGUCAAUAGAGACUUUACUCUAAAAUUUUUAAAUUUGAAUAUGAAGACACAGAUUGUAAUUUUUUAAGUCAGCAAAAAAAUCCUGGUUUUAUUACAGCCCUUAUACUGUACUAAAUUUUCGGAGUGAAUGCGGGAUUAAAUGAAAUGCAAAACUGAAAUCACUCCCCUGAAAAAAAACUCCAUAUUUACGCUGUAUAAGGAGUAAUUUUUUCUAAAACUCCACUCUCUAAAUAUGAAUUAGUGAUUUAUCACUAAUUUUAAGUGAAUAUUCACUAAUUGUCAAUGCUACAAUUGUACC